AGAGACAAACAUUUGGUCAUAAAAGGACAGAAACAGAACACAACACAAGAAACGCGUCGCGUGAAAAUCUCUUCCUGUUCUUGUUCCUCUUAACUCACUCACUCAUUGCUUCGUCGUCGAUUGCGGCACGGUGAAGACGACGGUGGCAUCAUAUCUCAUCGUCUUUCUCACGUGUGGGUUGAUUGUCUGUUCAUGAUGCUUCCGCGUUCUUCACGGUGAACACGACGCUGCUUUUACUCCCUCGUCUCUCUGUUGCAAUCGCGUCAGAGGCUAAUGCUGGUGAAGCCCUAUCAACAUCGUCAGCGUUCUUGGUCCGCAACAUUCACUCAUGGGUUUCUUGAUUCGGCGGGUUUUCUUGGAGCAGCCUGCAUGGGUAUAUAGAACUUCUUGGUCCGAUUCCCACUCAAUAUUCAGUUAUGGGUUUCUCUUACUUUGCAUCUUCACACUUUCUCAACAGCGUCAGAGCCACUGCUGCUAAUUCUCUGAUUAGGGUUCUUGAACAGUUCUUGGUCCGAUUCCCGCCCAUUAUUCAGUGAUGGGUUUCUUGAUUCGAUACUCAACAUGUCUCAGCCCACAAGGGUAGUAUCAUGACGGGGAAUUAGAAUGUUGCAAAGGACCAAAUGCCACGGUUGGAGCUCCUUCAAUUUGUCAAAAAGUAUUUUCUGAGUGAGGUGGCGGAUAACUCUUUUGGGUUAGCCAAAGAUAAGAGUGGAUGUUGAGUGCUGCAGCAGUGCAUUAUCCAUGCAAGGGGAGAAACCAAAAUGCGGUUGAUUGCUGAUAUCACAGUAAAUGCUUCUCUCCUAGCCGAGGAUGCUACCAAAGGGAUGCCUAUAUGUGAAGCAUUAACUCAGAUAGAGCAGCAGCAUAUCAUAUACGACAUGGUGCAUGUGAAGUACUAUGCUAAGCUUGUGCGUUGUCAAGAACCCCUUAAGGUUGAUAUGGAUAUUAGCUUUUCAGAUCAAGACUCGGCUCUCAACUUCGUUUUGACCUGGUAUCAGGUGUCAUGUCUUUUAUUCUCCCCUCAUUUUGCUGCCAGUAAUGAUAUAUUGUCAAGUGUGUAUGUGUUUUUGUAGAGUACAAAGCAAGAAAACAUGAGAUUUUUAUUGUGUCUUAGAUAGGAAGCAAAGCGUUUAAUAAUUAUUUUAUUGGUGCCAUUGGUAAUUAUUUUAUUGGUGCCAUCUCUAUUUCUUUGAAGUACAUCAAUUUCUGCAUGCUGAGCAGAUUUCUAUUCUAGAGCAGUCAAGGCUCACCUAGGUGUUUCUUUAGUUCAGAAACACUUAACAAAACAGUAGGAUGAAGUCUAGGUUUUAAAAUACAAGCUUUAGAACUAGGUACCAUAUGCUGUGUUGGCUGAAUGUCAAACAAAGAAGGAUGAGCAAAAAGUCUAGGUUGAAAAAGAUUAGAAAGUGAAAUAGGAUAUAAAUUAGAUUAGAUGGGGAGGAAGAUGAAGAAAGAGAAGUUGGUGUGUGUCACUGAGAAGAAAGUGAAAUAUGGAAAAUAGGAGGAAACGGUGAAGAUUCAAGUGAACCAUUAGGAAUUGAAGGAGUGGGGAGAAAUUUGUGAAGAAGGUAAGUAGUGAAAGGUGUAAAUUAGGACUCAUGUAAGUGAAUAUCCAUAGAGAGGAAGAAGAAGGAGGUGAGGAUUUAAAUGAACCUUAUGUAUUGAACGAGCAAUACAUGAAUUUGUACUAGCAGGAGAAGAGAAAUAACUCCAAGGUGAGUAAUAGUUGGAUAAGAAAAAGGGAUGUUUGAAGGAGGUAAAGUGUUGAAAAGAGGAAAUUUGGAAUCAUGAAAUUUAACAUCUCUAGAGAUUUAGAAAGUGGUAUAAGUGAUGGAAUAGAUGGUGAUGGGGACGAAGAAAGUGAAGUUGGUGAAUGUAAAUGAGGAGAAGGAAGUGAACCAUUAGAAAAAGUUGGAGAUGAUGAGGAUUCAAGUGAAACGUUAAGAAUUGAAGGAGCAGUAUAUGGAUGAGCUAUAAGAGGAGAAAAGGAAUAACUUCAAGGUGAAUAUUAGUUGGUUGGAGAUAUUGAUUUUGAAGGAGGUGAAGUAGAGAUAGAAAAAAUUUAUGACUAAUGAAAUUACAUGGAGAGGAAGAAGAUGAAAGAGAAAAUGGUGUGGUGAAUGAGGAGAAGGAAGUGAAACAUGGGAAAUAGUAGGAGAUGGUGAGGAUUACCAUCAACCCUAAUGUAUUGAAGGAGCAGUACAUGGAUAAGUAGAAGCAAGAGAAGAGAUAUAACUCCAAGGUGAGUAAUAGUUGGAUAAGAAAAUGGGAUGUUAGAAUGAGGUGAAAUAGUGAAAGAAGGAAAUUUGGACUCUUGGAAUUUAACUUCUCUUCAGAAUUAGAAAGUGGUAGUCGAGAUGGAUUAGAUGGGAAUGGAGAAGACGAAGGAGAAGCUGGUGAAGGUGAAUGAAGAGAAGGAAGUGAAAAUUGGGAAAAAGUUAGAGAUGGUGUGGAUUCAAGGGAACCAUUAUAAAUUGAGGGAGCAGUAAAAAGAUGAGCAUUGGGAGGGUAAGAGGAAUAUCUUGAAGGUGAAUCAUAAUUGGUAUAAAAAGUAAUUUUUAAGGACGUGAAGUGGAGAAAGUAGUUAAUUUGGAUUGCUGAAAAAGGAAAUAUGUAGAGAAUUUGAAAGUGGAAUAAGAUGGAUUAGUUAGGGAGGAAGAAGAAGAAAGAGAAGUUGGUGAAGGUGAAUGAGGAUAUGAAAGUGAAACAUAGGAAAUAGUAGAAGAUGGUGAGGAUUCAAGUGAAACGUUAUGAAUUGAAGGAGCAGUGCAUGCAGUAUAAGGAUGAGCUGUAGGAGGAGAAAAGGAAUAACUUCAUGGUGAAUAUUAGUUGGAUUAAAGAUAUUAAUUUUAAAGGAGUUGAAGUGGAGAUAGGAGAAAUUUUGGACAAAUGAAAUUCAGCUUCUUUAAAAUUUGGGAAAGUGGAAUUAGAUGGAUUAAAUGGAGAGUAAGAAGAUGAAAAAGAUGCUGGUGAGGAGAAUGAGGAGAAGGAAGUGAAAUAUGGGAAAGAGUAGGAGAUGGUGAGGAUUCAAAUGAACCAUAAUGUAUUAAGGAGCAGAUCACAGAUAAGUACUAGCAGGAGAAGAGAUAUAACUCCAAGGUGAGUAAUAGUUGGAUAAGAAAAUGGGAUGUUUGAAAGAGGUAAAGUGAAAGAAGGAAAUUUUUACUCUUGGAAUUUACCUUCUCUACAGAUUUAGAGAGUGGUAUAAGAGAUGGAUUAGAUGGUGAUUGAGAAUGAGAAAGAGAAGCUGGUGAAGGUGAAUGAAGAGAAGGAAGCGAAGCAUGGGAAAAAGAUAGAGAUGGUGUGGAUUCAAGUGAACCAUUAUGAAUUGAGGGAGUAGUAAAAAGAUGAGCAGUGGGAGUGUUAAGGUGAAUAAUAAUUGGUGAAGAAGUUAUUUGUUAAGGACAUGAGGUGGAGAAAGUAGUUAAUUUGGAUUGCUGAAAAAGAAUAUCUAUUGAGAAUUUGAAAGUGGAAUAAGAUAGAUUAGUUAGGGAGGAAUAAGAAGAAAGAUAAGUUGGUGAAGGUGAAUGAGGAGAUGAAAGUGAAACAUAGGAAAUAGUAGGAGAUGGUGAGGAUUCAAGUGAAACAUUAAGAAUUGAAGGAGCAGUUUUAGGAUGAGCUGUAGGAGGAGAAAAGGAAUAACUUCAAGGUGAAUAUUUGUUGGAUAGAAAAUAUUAAUUUUGAAGGAGGUGAAGUGAAGACAGAAGAAAUUUUGGACUAAUGAAAUUGAGCAUCUUUAAAUUUUUGGAAAGUGGAAUAAGAUGGAUUACAUGGAGAGGAAGAUGAUGAAAGAGAACUUGGUGAGGUGAAUCAGGAGAAGUAAGUGAAACAUGGGAAAGAGUAGGAGAUGGUGGGCAUUCAAAUGAACCAUAAUGUAUUGAAGGAGCAGUACAUGGAUAAGUACUAGCAGGAGAAGAGAAAUAACUCCAAGGUGAGUAAUAGUUGGAUAAGAAAAAUGGAUGCUUGAAGGAGGUGAAGUGGUGAAAGAAGGAAAUUGGACUAUUGGAAUUUAACUUCUCUACAGAUUUAGAAAGUUGUAUAAGAGAUGGAUUUGAUUGGGAUGGAGAAAGAGAAAGAGAAGCUAAUGAUGGUGAAUGAAGAGAAGGAAGUGAAACCUGGGAAGGAGUAGGAGAUGGUGAGGAUUCAAAUCAACCAUAAUGUAUUGAAGGAGCUGUACAUACAUGGAUAAGUAGUUGCAGGAGAAGAGAAAGAACUCUAAGGUGAGUAAUAGUUGGAUAAGAAAAAGGCAUGUUUGAACGAGGUGAAGUGGUGAAAGAAGGAAAUUUGGACUCUUGGAAUUUAACGUCUCUUCAGAUUUUGAAAGUGGUAGACGAGAUGAAUUGGAUGGGGAAGGAGAAGAAGGAAGAGAAGCUGGUGAAGGUGAAUGAAGAGAAGGAGGUGAAACUUGGGAAAAAGUUAGAGAUGGUGUGGAUUCAAGUGCCAUUAUGAAUUGCGGGAGCAGUGGUAGGGUAAGAGUAAUUUCUUGAAGGUGAAUAAUAAUUGGUUAAGAAGUUAUUUUUUAAGGACGUGAAGUGGAGAGCUUAGUUAAUCUGGAUUGUUGAAAAAGAAUAUCUGUAGAGAAUUUGAAAGUGGAAUAAGUUGGAUUAGUUAGAGAGAAAGAAGAAGAAAGAGAAGUUUGUGAAGGUGAAUGAGGAGAUGAAAGUGAAACAUAGGAAAUAGUAGCAGAUGGUGAGGAUUCAAGUAAAACAUUAAGAAUUGAAGGAGAAGUUUUAGGAUGAGCUGUAGGAGGAGAAAAGGAAUAACUUCAAGGUGAAUAUUAGUUGGAUAGAAGAUAUUAAUUUUGAAGGAGGUGAAGUGAAGAUAGAAGAAAUUUUGGACUAAUGAAAUUCAGCAUCUUUAAAAUUUGGGCAAGUGGAAUUAGAUGGAUUACAUGUAGAGUAAGAUGAUGAAAGAGAAGUUGGUGAGGUGAAUGAGGAGCAGGAAGUGAAAUAUGGGAAAGAGUUGGAGAUGUUCAAAUGAACCAUAAUGUAUUGAAGGAGCAGUACACGGAUAAGUACUAGCCGGAGAAGAGAUAUAACUCCAAGGUGAGUAAUAGUUGGAUAAGAAAAAGGGAUGUUUGAAGGAGGUGAAGUGGUGAAAGAAGGAAAUUUGGACUCUUGGAAUUUACAUUCUCUACAGAUUUAGAAAGUGGUAUAAGAGAUGGAUUAGAUGGGGAUGGGGAAAGAGAAAGAGAAGCUGGAGAAGGUGAAUGAAGAGAAGGAAGUGAAACAUGGCAAAUAGUUAGAGAUGGUGUGGUUUCAAGUGAACCAUUAUGAAUUGAGGGUGUAGUAAAAAGAUUAGCAGUGGGAGUGAUAGAGGAAUAUCUUGAAGGUGAAUAAUAAUUGGUUAAGAAGUUAUUUUUUAAGGACAUGAAGUGGAAAAAGUAGUUAAUUUGGAUUGCUGAAAAAGAUUAUCUGUAGAGAAUUUGAAAGUGGAAUAAGAUGGAUUAGUUAGGGAGGAAUAAGAAGAAAGAGAAGUUGGUGAAGAUGAAUGAGGAGAUGUAAGUGAAACAUAGGAAAUAGUAAGAUAUGGUGAGGAUUCUAGUGAAACAUUAAGAAUUGUAGGAGCAGUUUUAGGAUGAACUGUAGGAGGAGAAAAGGAAUAACUUCAAGGUGAAUAUCUGUUGGAUAGAAGAUAUGAAUUUUGAACUAGGUGAAGUGGAGAUAGAAUAAAUUUUGGACUAAUGAAAUUGAGCAUCUUUAAAUUUUUGGAAAGUGGAAUAAGAUGGAUUACAUGGAGAGGAAGAACAUGAAAGAGCAUAUUUGGUGAGGUGAAUGAGGAGAAGGAAUUGAAACAUGGGGAAGAGUAGGAGUUGGUGAUGAUUCAAAUGAAUAAUUAUGUAUUGAAGGAGCAGUACAUGGUUAUGUAGUAGCUGGAAAAGAGAAAUAACUACAAGGUGAGUAAUAGUUGGAUAAGAAAAAGGGAUGCAUGAAUGAGGUGAAGUGGUGAAAGAAGGAAAUUUGGACUCCUGAAAUUUAACUUCUCUAUAGAUUGAGAAAGUGGUAUUAGAGAAGGAUCAGAUGGAGAUGGAGAAGAAGAUAGAGAAGCUGGUGAAGGUGAAUGAAGAGAAGGAUGUGAAACCUGGGUAGGAGUAGGAGAUGGUGAGGAUUCAAAUCAACCAUAAUGUAUUGAAGGAGCAGUACAUGGAUAAGUAGUAGCAGGAGAAGAGAAAUAACUCCAAAAGGAUGUUUGGAUGAGGUGAAGUGGUGAAAGAAGGAAAUUUGUACUCUUGGAAUUAAACUUCUCUUCAGAUUUAGAAAGUGGUAGACGAGAUGGAUUAGAUGGGGAUGGAGAAGAAGAAAGAGAAGCUGGUGAAGGUGAAUGUAGAGAAGGAAGUGAAACUUGGGGAUAAAGUUAGAGAUGUUGUGGAUUCAAGUGAACCAUUAUGAAUUGAGGGAGCAGUAAAAAGAUGAGCAGUGGUAGGGUUAGAGUAAUAUCUUGAAGGUGAAUAAUAAUUGGUUAAGAAGUUAUUUUUUAAGGACGUGAAGUGGAGAUCGUAGUUAAUUUGGAUUGCUGAAAAAGAAUAUCUGUAGAGAAUUUGAAAGUGGAAUAAGUUGGAUUAGUUAGGGAGGAAGAAGAAGAAAGAGAAGUUGGUGAAGGUGAAUGAGGAGAUGAAAGUGAAACAUAGGAAAUAGUAGGAGAUGUUGAGGAUCCAAGUGAAAUAUUUAGAAUUGAAGGAUAAGGAUGAGCUGUGGGAGGAGAAAAGGAAUAACUUCAAGGUGAAAAUUAAUUGGAUAGAAGAUAUUAAUUUUGAUGGAGGUGAAGUGGAGAUAGGAGAAAUUUUGGACUAAUGAAAUUCAGCAUCUUUAUAAUUUUAGAAAGUGGAAUAAGACUGAUUACAUGGUGAGGAAGAAGAAGAAAGAGAAGUUAGUGAGGUGAAUGAGGAGAAGGAAUUCUAACAAAGGAAGGAGUAGGAGAUGGUGAGGAUUCAACUGAACCAUUGUGUAUUGAAGGUGAUAGAAGAAAUAGAAAAAGGGAAAAGAGAGGGGAAUUUUUUAACUGAAAUUGUUAUCAUAAUUUUUGGUAAUUUCAAGAGAGUUAGAUCCUACUUUUAGAAGAAUGGUGGCAUACAGAGCAAGUUAACUAUUCUGAUAGAAACUAACAGAACCUAACUAAUGAUAACAACCCCUAAUUGCUAGUAUCCAGCUUGCAUUCCAGCUGGCAUAGCUCACACUUGACUUACUGGAUAUUUUCAUAUCUAAACUAUACUUGAUACACAUUCCAGCUCACACAUAGUAGUAAUUGAAGAUGAGGCUUUCUACUGCAGGUCUUACAAAACCGAAACAUUACACAAACUAACAAUAACCCAUGUAUGACUAUAUUACUAACAUUCCCCCUUAAACUGAGUGAGUGUAGUUGAGACUUGAAACUGCUCCAUGUUUGUCUCUUAGCUCUAGGAUAGAGAUGAGCAUUAGGUGGAGAAGAGGAAUCACUCAUAGGUGAGUAAUAGUUGCAUAAAAAGAAUAAAUUUUUGAAGGAGGUGAAGUAGUGAAAGUUGUAAAUUAGGACUCAUGUAAGUGAAUAUCCAUAGAGAGGAAGAAGAUGGAGGCGCGGAUUUAAAUGAAUGUUAUGUAUUGAACGGGCAGUACAUGGAUUCUUACUAGCAGGAGAAGAGAAAUAACUUCAAGGUGAGUAAUAGUUAGAUAAGUAAAAGGGAUGUUUAAAGGAGGUAAAGUGGUGAAAGGAGGAAAUUUGGAAUCAUGAAAAUUAACAUCUCUAAAGAUUUAGAAAGUGGUAUAAGAGAUGGAAUAGAUGGUGAUAGCAGGAGAAGAGAAAUAACUCCAAGGUGAGUAAUAGUUAGAUAAGAAAAAGGGAUGUUUGAAGGAGGUAAAGUGGUGAAAGGAGGAAAUUUGGAAUCAUGAAAUUUAACAUCUCUAAAGAUUUAGAAAGUGGUAUAAGAGAUGGAAUAGAUGGUGAUGGAGACGAAGAAAGAGAAGUUGGUGAAGGUAAAUGAGGAGAAGGAAGUGAACCAUUAGAAAAAGUUGGAGAUGAUGAGGAUUCAAGUGAAACAUUAAGAAUUGAAGGAGCUGUAUAAGGAGGAGCUGUAUAAGGAUGAGCUGUAGGAGGAGAAAAAGAAUAACUUCAAGGUGAAUAUUAGUUGGAUAGAAGAUAUUAAUUUUGAAGGAGGUGAAGUGGAGAUAGAAAAAAUUUGUCUAAUGAAAUUUAGCAUUUUUAAAAUUUGGGAAAGUGGAAUAAGAUGAAUUACAUGGACAGGAUGAAGAUGAAAGAAAAGAUGGUGAGGUGAAUGAGGGGAAGGAAGUGAAACAUGGGAAAGAGUAUCAACCAUAAUGUAUUGAAGGAGCAGUACAUGGAUAAUUAGUAGCAGGAGAAGAGAUAUAACUCCAAGGUGAGUAAUAGUUGGAUUAGAAAAAGGGAUGUUUGAAUGAGGUGAAGUGGUGAAAGAAGGAAAUUUGGACUCAUGGAAUUUAACUUCUCUUCAGAAUUAGAAAGUGGUAGUCGAGAUGGAUUAGAUGGAGAUGGAGAAGAAGAAAUAGAAGCUGGUGAAGGUGAAUGAAGAGAAGGAAGUGAAACUUGGGAAAAAGUUAGAGAUGGUGUGGAUUUAAGUGAACCAUUAUGAAUUGAGGGAGUAGUUAAAAGAUGAGCAGUGGGAGGAUUAGAGGAAUAUCUUGAAGGUGAUUCAUAAUUGGUAAAUAAGUUAAUUUUUAAGGACGUGAAGUGGAGAAAGUAGUUAAUAUGGAUUGCUGAGAAAGAAAAUAUGUAGAGAAUUUGAAAGUGGAAUAAGAUGGAUUAGUUAGGGAGGAAGAAGAAGAAAGAGAAGUCGGUGAAGGUGAAUGAGGAGAUGAAAGUGAAACAUAGGAAAUAUUAGAAGAUGGUGAGGAUUCAAGUGAAACGUUAGGAAUUAAAGGAGCAGUAUAAGGAUGAGCUGUAGGAGGAGAAAAGGAAUAACUUCAAGGUGAGUUAGUUGGAUAGAAGAUAUUAAUUUUGAAGGAGGUGAAGUGGAGAUAGAAGAAAUUUUGGACAAAUGAAUUUCAGCAUCUUUAAAAUUUUGGGAAAGUUGAAUUAGAUGGAUUAAAUGUAGAGUAAGAAGAUGAAAGAGAUGUUGGUGAGGAGAAUGAGGAGAAGGAGGUGAAAUAUGGGAAGAGUAGGAGAUGGUGAUGAUUCAAAUGAACCAUAAUGUAUUAAGGAGCAAUACACAAAUAAGUACUAGCAGGAGAAGAGAUAUAACUCCAAGGUGAGUAAUAGUUGGAUAAGAAAAAGGGAUGUUUGGAGGAGGUAAAGUGGUGAAAGAAGGAAAUUCUUACUCUUGGAAUUUACCUUAUCUAUAGAUUUAGAAAGUGGUAUAAGAGAUGGAUUAGAUGAGGUUGGAGAAUGAGAAAGAGAAGCUGGUGAAGGUGAAUGAAGAGAAGGAAGUGAACAUGGGAAAUAGUUAGAGAUGGUGUGGAUUCAAGUGAACCAUUAUGAAUUGAGGGAGUAGUGAAAAGAUGAGCAGUGGUACUGUUAGAGGAAUAUCUAGAAGGUGAACAAUAAUUGGUUAAGAAGUUAUGUUUUAAGGACAUAAAGUGGAGAAAGUAGUUAAUUUGUAUUGCUGAAAAAGUAUAUCUGUAGAGAAUUUUAGUAAAAAGAUGAGUAGUGGGAGUGUUAGAGGAAUAUCUUGAAGGUGAACAAUAAUUGGUUAAGAAGUUAUUUUUUAAGGACAUGAAGUGGAGAAAGUAGUUAAUUUGUAUUGCUGAAAAAGAAUAUCUGUAGAGAAUUUGAAAGUGGAAUAAGAUGGAUUACUUAGGGAGGAAUAAGAAGAAAGAUAAGUUGGUGAAGGUGAAUGGAGUGAUGAAAUGAAACAUAGGAAAUAGUAGGAGAUGGUGAGGAUUCAAGUGAAAGGAUAAGGAUGAGCUGUGGGAGGAGAAAAGGAAUAACUUCAAGGUGAAAAUUAAUUGGAUAGAAGAUAUUAAUUUUGAAGGAGGUGAAGUGGAGAUAGGAGAUAUUUUGGACUAAUGAAAUUGAGCAUCUUUACAAUUUUAGAAAGUGGAAUAAGACAGAUUACAUGGAGAGGAAGAAGAAGAAAGAGAAGUUAGUGAGGUGAAUGAGUAGAAGGAAUUCAAACAAAGGAAGGAGUUGGAGAUGGUGAAGAUUGAACUGGACCAUUGUGUAUUGAAGGUGAUAGAAGAAAUAGAAAAAGGGAAAAGAGAGAGAAAGUUUUUAACUGAAAUUGUUAUCAUAAUUUUUGGUAGUUUCAAGAGAGUUAGAUCCUACUUUUAGAAGAAUGGUGGCAUACAGAGCAAGUUAACUAUUCUGAUAGAAACUAACAGAACCUAACUAAUGCUAACAGCCCCUAACCGCUAGUGUCCAGCUUGCAUUCCGGCUGGCAUAGCUUACACAUUACUAACUGGAUAUUUUCUUAUCUAAACUAUACUUUAUACACAUUCCAGCUAAGACAGCUCACACAUGACUAACCCGAUAUUUUCAUACUAUACUAUAUACACUUAUAGAAGGAGCAGUAGUAGUACUUGGAUAUGUAGUAGCAGGAAAAGAGAAAUAACUCCAAGGUGAGUGAUAGUUGGAUAAGAAAAAGGGUUAUUUAAAUGAGGUGAAGUGGUGAAAGAAGGAAAUUUGAACUCAUGGAAUUUAACUUCUCUAUAGAUUUAGAAAGUGGUAUAAGAGAUGGAAUAGAUGGGGAUGGAGAAGAAGAAAGAGAAGCUGGUGAAGGUGAAUGUAGAGAAGGAAGUGAAACUUGGGAUAAAGUUAGAGAUGUUGUGGAUUCAAGUGAACCAUUAUGAAUUGAGGGAGCAGUAAAUGGAUGAGCAGUGGGACGUGUAGAGGAAUGUCUUCAAGGUUAAUAAUAAUUGGUUAAGAAUUUAAUUUUUACGAACUUCAAGUGGAGAAAGUAGUUAAUUUGGAUACUGAAAUUGAUUAUAUCUAGGGAAUUUGAAAGUGGAAUAAGAUGGAUUAUAUAGGGAGGAAUAUGAAGAAGUAGAAGUUGGUGAAGGUGAAUGAGGAGAUGAAAGUGAAACAUUGGAAAUAGUAGGAGAUGGUGAGGAUUGAAGUGAAACAUUAAGAAUUGAAGGAGCAGUAUAAGGAUGUGUUGUAGGAAGAAGAAAAGGAAUAACUUCAAGGUGAAUAUUAGUUGGAUAGAAGAUAUUAUUUUUGAAGUAGGUGAAGUGGAGAUAAAUGAAAUUUUGGACUUAUGAAAUUGAGCAUCUUUGAAACCUCGGAAAGUGUAAUAAGAUGGAUUACAUACAGAGGAAGAACAUGAAAGAGCAUUUGGUGAGGUGAAUGAGGAGAAGGAAUUGAAACAUGGUGAAGAGUAGGAGAUGGUGAUGAUUCAAAUGAAUAAUUAUGUAUUGAAGGAGCAGAACAUGGAUAUGUAGUAGCUGGAAAAGAGAAAUAACUACAAGGUGAGUAAUAGUUGGAUAAGAAAAAGGGAUGUAUGAAUGAGGUGAAGUGGUGAAAGAAAGAAAUUUGGACUCCUGAAAUUUAACUUCUCUAUAGAUUGAGAAAGUGGUAUUAGAGAAGGAGGAAGUAGGCAGAGAAGUUGAUGAAGGUGAAUGAAGAGAAUGAAGUGAAACAUGGUCAUUAGUGGUAGAAGAAAUAAUUUUCAAAGGACGUGAAGUGGUGAAAGAAGGAAAUUUGGACUCAAGAAUGUUAACAUUUCUAAUAAAUUCAUAAAGUGAAAUAAGAUGAAUUAGAGACAUGGAGGAAGACGAUGGAGAAGUUGAUGUAGGUGAAUGAGUAGAAGGAAGUGAAACAUGGGAUGGAGUAGGAAAGGGUGAAGAUUCAUGUGAACCGUUAAGAUUUGAUGAAUCACUCCAAGGUGUGUAAUAGUUGGAGAACAAGAAGUGAUGUUUGAAAGAUAUGAAGUGGUUAAGUAAUGAAAUUUGGACUCAUGAAAUUUAACAUGCCUAGAGAACUAGAAAGUGGAAUAGAUGGAAUAGAUUUGGGAGGAAUGAGAAGAAAAAGAAGUUGGUGAAAAGGGAAAGAGGAGAAUGAAGUGAAACAUGGGAAAAAGGAGGAGGGGAUGGUGAAGAUUCAAGUGAACCAUUAAGAAUCGAAGGAGCAAUUUAAGGGUGAGAGUAGGAGGAGAGGAGGAAUCACUUCAUGGACAUUAGUGGUAGAAGAAGUGAUUUUUGAAGGACGUGAAGUGGUGAAUGAAGGAAAUUUGGACUCAAGAAUUUUAACGUUUCUAAAAUUUCAUAAAGUGAAAGAAGAUAUGAAUUAGAGACAUGGAGAAAGUAGACGGAGAAGUUGAUGAAGGUGAAUGAAGAGAAUGAAGUGAAACAUGGAAAAGAGGAGACGGUGAAGAUUCAAGUGACCCAUUAAGAUUUGUAGGAGCAGUAUAAGGAUGAACAGUAGGAGGAGAGGAGGAAUCACUCCAAAAUGAGACAUAUUUGGAGAAGAUAAAAAUGAUUUUUGAAGGAGGUGUAGUGGUGAAAGAAUGAAAGCUGGACUCAUGAAAGUUGACAUCUCUAGAGAAUUUGAAUGUGGAAGAGGAGAUGGAUUAGAUUAGAUGAGGUGGAAUACGAGGAUGGAAAAUUUGGUGUAGGUGAAUUAGGAGAAGGAAGUGAAACAUGAGAAUGAGGAGGAAGGAGUGAAUAUUUAAGUGAACUACUAAGAGUUGAAUGCGCAGUGUAAGGAUGAACAGUAGUAGGAGAAGAGUAGUCACUUUGAAUUAUAGUAGAAGAAGUGACUUUUGAAGGAGGUGAAGUGAUCAAAGAAGGAAAUUUGGACUCAAGAAUUUUAUGAUCUCAACCGGUGAAAUAGGACAAAAUCAGACGAGGAGGAAGAAGAAGAAAUUGAAGUUGUGAAGGUGACGGGCAAAAAGAUGUUAAACAUGCCAAAUAAGAGGAGACGGCGAAGAUUCAAGAGAUACAUUAAGAAUUGUAGGAGCAGUAUAAGGAUGAGCAGUGAGUGGAGAGCUGGAAUCUCUCCAAGGUGAGUGAUAUUUGGAGAAGAAGCAAUAUUUUAAGGAGGGUAAGCGGUGAAAGAAGAAAUUUGGACUCAUGAAAUUUAACAUAUCUAGAGAAUUAGGACAUGAAAUAGGAGAUGAAUUAGAUAAGAGGGGCUGGAAGAAGAAAAAUGAGAAGAUGGUGUAGGUGAAUGAGGUGAAGGAAGUGAGACAUGGGAAGAAGGACGAAAGGGGGAAGAUACAAGUACACAACUAGGAAUUGAAGGAGCAGUAUAAGGAUGAGCAAUAGGAAUCACUACAAAGCGAGUAAUUGUUGGAUAAGAAGUGACUUUUUAAGGAGGCCAAGUGAUGAAAGAAUGCAAUUUGGAUUCAUGAAAUUUAAAAUCUCCGGAGAUUUAGAAAGUGGAAUUUGAGAUGUAAUAAACGGGUAGGAAGGAAAAAAAGAAGUUAGUGUCGGUAACAUGUUUAGCCAACAAGCUUUCUAGUGGUGUUCUUGACCAACCUGAACCUCACAAACUUGUUGCAGAACAUUCCAUGUAGAUUCUGCACCAGAUGCUGACAGUAUAGUGGGUAAAGGUCUGGAAGCCAUCGAGCUCCGCUAGAAGGAGUAUUUUGGUCAGCCAGUUCUUCCUGCCAGUCAACACGUGUUUCAUUCUUCAGCUUGCGGUUAAUGUAUUUCAUUCUGCUGAAUUGAGUUCUUCAUCCCAAGAGCUUUCAAGAAUAAUACCUACAUAUUGCCAAGAAGAACGUACGCUCCCAUCGAGAUCAAGAAGUUGAUCCCUGGGUUUGAUUGGCCUGCCCAAUGUUGGUAAGAGUAGCCUUAUUAUUAUCCUCAUUUAUUUUUUUCACAUUUGUUUCCAUAAAAUACUUUUUUGAAUUAGUUUGCCUAAAUUGAUAUUAUUUUUUUGCAUAAGUUUGCACUUAAAGUUUUCAAUUAAAAGAGCCCAAGAGAAUUUGAAUACAUUCCUUAGAUUACUUGUGGAUUCCUAAUUGUUUAACAAAAUUUAGAGUAAACAACAUGUGAGAGAGAGAAAAACAAUUUUAAAAAAAAAUGAAUUGAGGUCCUUUGAUGUAUACUCAUUUGUGUGUUGUUUCAUCUUUUUUAGUUAGCCAUUUUCUUUCUUCUUUUCUAUUUUACUUUUGUAUUGAUUGUUAUAGCAUAACUUGUACUAGGAUUUUCUCAUUGUAAUUUUUCUCUUUUGUAGUUUGUAAUAUAGAACCGAUGCAUUGUAAUUUUUAGAACUCUUGUUUAAGGACCAAAUCCUUGUAAUUUUCUUUUUAGCUAUGUAAAGGACUUGGACACUCUCUUUGGGGAUCCUUUUGGUUGAUCUUUACUUAUUUGUUUUGUUUGUU